rnacentral:tRNA from 1 species
GCCGAGGUGGUGAAAUUGGUAGACACAGGAGACUCAAAAUCUCCCGCCCGUAAGGGUGUGCGGGUUCGAGUCCCGCCCUCGGUACCA